rnacentral:rRNA from 1 species
CCUACGGGAGGCAGCAGUGGGGAAUAUUGGACAAUGGACCAAGAGUCUGAUCCAGCAAUUCUGUGUGCACGAUGAAGUUUUUCGGAAUGUAAAGUGCUUUCAGUUGGGAAGAAAAAAAUGACGGUACCAACAGAAGAAGUGACGGCUAAAUACGUGCCAGCAGCCGCGGUAAUACGUAUGUCACGAGCGUUAUCCGGAUUUAUUGGGCGUAAAGCGCGUCUAGGUGGUUAUGUAAGUCUGAUGUGAAAAUGCAGGGCUCAACUCUGUAUUGCGUUGGAAACUGCAUGACUAGAGUACUGGAGAGGUAAGCGGAACUACAAGUGUAGAGGUGAAAUUCGUAGAUAUUUGUAGGAAUGCCGAUGGGGAAGCCAGCUUACUGGACAGAUACUGACGCUAAAGCGCGAAAGCGUGGGUAGCAAACAGGAUUAGAUACCCCGGUAGUC